rnacentral:snoRNA from 1 species
CAGGGUACAAUGAUUAAACAUUUUCGGAUGUAAACCAUUUAAACCACCGAGAGCGCAAAACCGUGUGGAUAUCUUCCGUUGCCUUCCUUCUGAGUACCCCU